GAUGAACGCUGGCGGCGUGCCUAACACAUGCAAGUCGAACGAAGCACUUUUUUACGAUCCCUUCGGGGUGACGAAUUUGUGACUGAGUGGCGGACGGGUGAGUAACGCGUGGGAAACCUGCCUUGUACCGGGGGAUAGCAGUUGGAAACGACUGAUAAUACCGCAUAAGCGCACAGUAUCACAUGAUACAGUGUGAAAAACUCCGGUGGUACAAGAUGGUCCCGCGUCUGAUUAGCUUGUUGGCGGGGUAAUGGCCCACCAAGGCGACGAUCAGUAGCCGACCUGAGAGGGUGACCGGCCACAUUGGGACUGAGACACGGCCCAAACUCCUACGGGAGGCAGCAGUGGGAAUAUUGCACAAUGGAGGAAACUCUGAUGCAGCGACGCCGCGUGAGCGAUGAAGUAUUUCGGUAUGUAAAGCUCUAUCAGCAGGGAAGAUAAUGACGGUACCUGACUAAGAAGCUCCGGCUAAAUACGUG
rnacentral:rRNA from 1 species